GAUGAACGCUAGCGGCAGGCUUAAUACAUGCAAGUCGAGGGGUAACAGGGGUAGCAAUACCUGCUGACGACCGGCAAACGGGUGCGGAACACGUACGCAACUUUCCCAAAACUGGUGAAUAGCCCUCCGAAAGGAGGAUUAAUACACCGUAACAUAAUGAAGUGGCAUCACUUUAUUAUUAUAGCUCCGGUCGGUUUUGGAUGGGCGUGCGCCUGAGUUAGGUAGUUGGCGGGGUAACGGCCCACCAAGCCUGCGAUCAGUAACUGGUGU
rnacentral:rRNA from 1 species